rnacentral:rRNA from 1 species
AGUGAACGCUGGCGGUAGGCCUAACACAUGCAAAUCGAACGGCAGCACAGGAGAGCUUGCUCUCUGGGUGGCGAGUGGCGGACGGGUGAGGAAUACAUCGGAAUCUACUCUGUCGUGGGGGAUGACGUAGGGAAACUUACGCUAAUACCGCAUACGACCUACGGGUGAAAGCAGGGGACCUUCGGGCCUUGCGCGAUUGAAUGAGCCGAUGUCGGAUUAGCUAGUUGGCGGGGUAAAGGCCCACCAAGGCGACGAUCCGUAGCUGGUCUGAGGGGAUGGUCAGCCACACUGGAACGGAGACACGGUCCAGACUCCUACGGGAGGCAGCAGUGGGGAACAUUGGACAAUGGGCGCAAGCCUGAUCCAGCCAUACCGCGUGGGUGAAGAAGGCCUUCGGGUUGUAAAGCCCUUUUGUUGGGAAAGAAAUCCAGCUGGCUAAUACCCGGUUGGGAUGACGGUACCCAAAGAAUAAGCACCGGCUAACUUCGUGCCAGCAGCCGCCGUAA